rnacentral:piRNA from 1 species
UGGACAUGUUUGGAAGUAUUGAAUGG